AACUCGGCCAUUUAGAGGAAGUACAAGUCGUAACAAGGUUUCCGUAGGUGAACCUGCGGAAGGAUCAUAGUAAUCGUCUUUGACGUUCUGUUCCGUCGUCCUCGGGACGUUAAGGCGCUCUGGUCGAGGAUAAACGACCCCUCUGACCGAGGUAAAGCGGUCGCUGUGUUACCUCUGUUCGAGGCACACGUUAAAGAUCGUUCCGCGUUGUGAGUCCAACAAGUUGUAAACUUUACAACCGGCAGCGCUGGAUCCCUUGGCACGUCAUUCGAUGAAGACCGUUGCAAAUUGCGAUAAAGUGAUGUGAUGCGCAAGUCCACCACUUAUACGUGAAUCAUCGAGUUGUUGAACGCAUUGCACCGCGCCCUAAUCCGGCUGCGGUAUGCCCCUUUGAGCGUCAUUUAUUCCUUCGGGAGUCUUUCCUUGCGGAAGACCCGAGUUCGGAGUCCUCGGUCUUUGGAUCGUGUUCUCUUAGAUGCGUCGCGCCGAUCGCCUGAUGGGUACUCUAAUGCCUGAGCGUGGAGUCCCUCUGGAGUUGAGACGUGCUUGACCGGCCGUUGGGCUCGCGUCACCAAGUCCGCGUCCUUUGGGACGGCGGUACUACAACGCAUGACCUCAUUGGGGUAGGACAACCCGCUAGACUUAAGCAUAUUAAUCAGCGGAGGAAAAGAAACUAACCAGGAUUCCCCUAGUAACUGCGAGUGAAGAGGGAUCGGCUCAAUGUGUGAAUCUGGCGG
rnacentral:rRNA from 1 species